rnacentral:tRNA from 1 species
UCAGAAAAAAAGGACUUAAACCUUUAUCUCCAGCUCCCAAAGCUGACAUUUUUAUCUUAAACUAUUCUCUG